CACAGACCUACACAUGUGACAAAAUGUCAUGGAACUAAACACACACAUACAGAAAGAGGACAGGUAAAAGUGGGGAAAAUCUGAACAAGUGUUCAUAUGGCUAUUUAAUCUGGAGGAUGGUGACAGAGAUGAAUAACUUUAUUAUGUUAAUCAUCGCAUUGGCUACUAUGGAGAAGAGGCAUACAUCCCUUAUGUUGUUUUGAGGACUGGCAAAGGAAGAACAGACUGAGGCCAACGCUGGCAGAAGGAAGGACGUAGUGAAGAUCAGAGCCGAAAUAUAUGAAAUAGAGGAACGAAAAAUGGAAACGAUCAACAAAACAGAAUCGGUCCCUCGAAAAGACAAAUAAAAUGGACAAACCUUUAGCUGUACUUACCAAGAACAGGAAGGAGGGAGGACUUGUGUAAAUUGAACUAUAAAUGAAAAAGGAGACAUGACGACUGAUGCCACCAAUGCAAAGGACCCUAAAAGACGACUCUGAACAGUUACAUGCCAAAGCAAUGGACAACCUAGAAGAAAUGGAUACAUUCCUAGAAACACACAGCCUACCAAGGCUGAACCAUGAAGAAACAGAAAAUCUGAAGAGACCAAUAAAAAGGAAGGAGAUUGAGUCAGUCAUCAAAAGCUUCCCAACAAACAAAAGUCCAGGAUCAGAUGGCUUCACAGUAAAUCCUAUCCAACAUUUAAAGAAUUCACACCAAUUCUUCUGAAACUCUUCCCAAAAACAUUGAAAAGGAGGGAAUACUUCCAUACUAGUUCACAAGCCUACUAUUACCCUUAGAGAUAAGGAGACUAUUGGGGUGGCGGGGGCGGGUGGUGGAACAACCACAGGCCGACGUCGGUAGGUGCAAAAAUAUUUAACAGAAUACGAGCAAACCAAAUUCAACAGCACAGUUAAAGGAUCUCACACCACGGUCAAGUGGGAUUCAUCCCUGGGUUGUGAGGAUGGUUCAACGUCUGUGUAUCAAUAAAUGUGAUCAACACAUCAAGAGAAUGAAAGACAUAAGAAUAUGGUUAUGCCAAUCCAUGCAGAAAAAGCAUUUAACAAAACUCAACAUCCUUUCCUGAUUUAAAAAAAAAAAAAGUCCAGGGCGCCUGGGUGGCUCAGUCAGUUAAGCGUCCGACUUUGGCUCAGGUCAUGAUCUCCCGGUCCGUGAGUUCGAGCCCUGUGUCGGGCUCUGUGCUGAUGGCUCAGCCUGGAGCCUGUUUCAGAUUCUGUGUCUCCCUCUCUCUCUGACCCUCCCCCGUUCAUGCUCUGUCUCUCUCUGUCUCAAAAAUAAAUAAACGUUAA